rnacentral:rRNA from 1 species
UACAGAGGUCCCGAGCGUUGUUCGGAUUCAUUGGGCGUAAAGGGUGCGUAGGCGGCGGGGAAAGUCUGAUGUGAAAUCCUGGGGCUCAACCCUGGAACUGCAUUGGAUACUUCCUUGCUAGAGUGCGGUAGAGGGUAGUGGAAUUCCCGGUGUAGCAGUGAAAUGCGUAGAGAUCGGGAGGAACACCAGUGGCGAAGGCGGCUACCUGGACCAGCACUGACACUGAAGCACGAAAGCGUGGGGAGCAAACAGG